ensembl:lncRNA
CCCUGCUGAGCUGAGACAGACACUAUUGGACCAGACACUACCAUGUCUCCCUGCUGAGCUGAGACAGACACUAUUGGACCAGACACUACCAUGUCCCCCUGCUGAGCUGAGACAGACACUAUUGGACCAGACACUACCAUGUCUCCCUGCUGAGCUGAGACAGACACUAUUGGACCAGACACUACCAUGUCUCCCUGCUGAGCUGAGACAGACACUAUUGGACCAGACACUACCACCAGUUCAACAACAGGUCUGGAGAGGAGAACAUGAGAGACAGAGAGCUCUGAGGGGUCACCCACAACAGUUCAUCAACAGGUCUGGAGAGGAGAACAUGAGAGACAGAGAGCUCUGAGAGGUCACCCACAACAGUUCAUCAACAGGUCUGGAGAGGAGAACAUGAGAGACAGAGAGCUCUGAGAGGUCACCCAUAACAGUUCACCAACAGGUCUGGAGAGGAGAACAUGAGAGACAGAGAGCUCUGAGGGGUCACCCAUAACAGUUCACCAACAGGUCUGGAGAGGGUGGGUAGUUUUACAUUCAAGAAGCUGACGUUUUGGGAAACAUGAGGCGUCUGAAAUGUGGAAGUCGUAAAGUUGUGUUUGUAGGAUGUUGCUGGGUUCCUUAUUCUGGACAGGAAUGAUGUUCAGUUACCAGACACAGCUGGUUGUUGUCAACGACCUCUGACCUCCGUAUACUUCCACUUCUCUAUUCAAUGGAAACAGUCCGUCCAAACGUCCUGAUGGCAUUUGGUGGAACAAUGAACACACUCAGUAUAAUACAUCUUCUGGAACCUCCCAAAGACACCUCUCUGUCCUCCUGUCCAAUACGACACGUACAGGUGACAGACAGACAGACAGACAGACAGACAGACAGACAGACAGAC